CCUUGACCUCUCAUGAAUACUCAUUAUAGUAAAGUUCACCCCUUUCCAACCCCUCUCUCUCCCCACCAUCGGCUCAUCGCUGGUGAAGGAGCGCUGUCGGGCUUCUCCACGGAGACGAAUCACUCCCUGUUGGGCUUCUUCUCCCAGCUGCUACCUAGGAUGCCUCCAGAUCUGUGCAAAGAGAGGUAACGUCUGUCUACAUCGACAUCUCCGGCGAGGUCUUUCCAAGGAAGGCGGCCUCAUGCUUGAUCCUUGGCGACAAAUCUUCACUAGGUGGCUGGAGUUUUCAAGUUGCAUCAAAGAUGUCUCAACCUCCCACUCGUGGAGGACCGAAUCUGUAUGCCUCUUGGCUUCUUAUGUAGCUCACCGCGUUUCUUUUGCUUUCUUCACCAACAAAAUACAUCUAGUUGUUGUCUUUGGAGUAGCUAUGGUCUUUGUACUAAUUUCUCUCAAGAACAAUAGUAGAAAUCUCAAGUGGUGUUGCUAAAAUUUCACUUUGCUCAUCAACACCUUAGCCUCCAUACAUAGGAGGAAUCAUUAGGGAUUGAGUGCAUUCAGCUCACUUGGUUUCACCCUCCACCGGAAGUGAGCUUCAGAUCUUCUUCAUCGGUGACAAAGGCCAAGAAGGAGAAUGACUCGAUUGCUUUUUUUUUCUUUCUAAGUCCUUUUCUACAAAAUGUUGAGCAAAAGUGUAAUUUGCCCAUUCACAAGGGGUUUUUCGCAAAA